rnacentral:rRNA from 1 species
GAUGAACGCUGGCGGCGUGCCUAAUACAUGCCAGUCGAGCGAACGGACGAGAAGCUUGCUUUUCUGAUGUUAGCGGCGGACGGGUGAGUAACACGUGGAUAACCUACCUAUAAGACUGGGAUAACUUCGGGAAACCGGAGCUAAUACCGGAUAAUAUUUUGAACCGCAUGGUUCAAAAGUGAAAGACGGUCUUGCUGUCACUUAUAGAUGGAUCCGCGCUGCAUUAGCUAGUUGGUAAGGUAACGGCUUACCAAGGCAACGGUGCAUAUCCGACCUGAGAGGGUGAUAGGCCACACUGGAACUGAGACACGGUCCAGACUCCUACGGGAGGCAGCAGUAGGGAAUCUUCCGAAAUGGGCGAAAGCCUGACGGAGCAACGCCGCGUGAGUGAUGAAGGUCUUCGGAUCGUAAAACUCUGUUAUUAGGGAAGAACAUAUGUGUAAGUAACUGUGCACAUCUUGACGGUACCUAAUCAGAAAGCCACGGCUAACUACGUG